rnacentral:misc_RNA from 1 species
AAGGAGUCUAACAUCUAUGCGAGUGUUUGGGUGUCAAGCCCAGACGCGUAAUGAAAGUGAACGGAGGUGGGAACCUUUUAGGAGCACCAUCGACCGAUCCUGAUGUCUUCGGAUGGAUUUGAGUAAGAGCAUAGCUGUUGGGACCCGAAAGAUGGUGAACUAUGCUUGAAUAGGGUGAAGCCAGAGGAAACUCUGGUGGAGGCUCGCAGCGGUUCUGACGUGCAAAUCGAUCGUCAAAUUUGGGUAUAGGGGCGAAAGACUAAUCGAACUAUCUAGUAGCUGGUUCCUGC